CAGUAGCCGCGGGAAAACGGAGGGUGCAAGCGUUAAUCGGAAUUACUGGGCGUAAAGCGCACGCAGGCGGUCUGUCAAGUCGGAUGUGAAAUCCCCGGGCUCAACCUGGGAACUGCAUUCGAAACUGGCAGGCUAGAGUCUUGUAGAGGGGGGUAGAAUUCCAGGUGUAGCGGUGAAAUGCGUAGAGAUCUGGAGGAAUACCGGUGGCGAAGGCGGCCCCCUGGACAAAGACUGACGCUCAGGUGCGAAAGCGUGGGGAGCAAACAGGAUUAGAUACCCGCGUAGUCCCUGUCUCUUAUAC
rnacentral:rRNA from 1 species